rnacentral:rRNA from 1 species
CACGUAGGGCGCAAGCGUUGUCCGGAAUUAUUGGGCGUAAAGAGCUCGUAGGCGGUCUGUUGCGUCUGCUGUGAAAACUCGGGGCUUAACCCCGAGCCUGCAGUGGAUACGGGCAGACUAGAGGUAGGUAGGGGAGAAUGGAAUUCCCGGUGUAGCGGUGAAAUGCGCAGAUAUCAGGAGGAACACCGGUGGCGAAGGCGGGUCUCUGGGCAGUAACUGACGCUGAGGAGCGAAAGUGUGGGGAGCGAACAGG